rnacentral:rRNA from 1 species
UACACACCGCCCGUCACACCAUGGGAGUGGGUUUCACCAGAAGUAGGUAGUCUAACCGCAAGGAGGACGCUUACCACGGUGAGAUUCAUGACUGGGGUGAAGUCGUAAACAAGGUACC